rnacentral:rRNA from 1 species
GAUAAACGCUGGCGGCGCACAUAAGACAUGCAAGUCGAACGGACUUAACCAUUAGUUUACUAUUGGAGCGGUUAGUGGCGGACUGGUGAGUAACACGUAAGCAACCUGCCUAUCAGAGGGGAACAACAGUUAGAAAUGGCUGCUAAUACCGCAUAAGCACACAGGACCGCAUGGUCCGGUGUGAAAAACUCCGGUGGUAUGAGAUGGACCCGCGUCUGAUUAGCUAGUUGGUAAGGUAACGGCUUACCAAGGCGACGAUCAGUAGCCGACCUGAGAGGGUGACCGGCCACAUUGGGACUGAGACACGGCCCAA